UAGGGAAUCUUCCACAAUGGACGCAAGUCUGAUGGAGCAACGCCGCGUGAGUGAAGAAGGUUUUCGGACCGUAAAGCUCUGUUGUUGGUGAAGAAGGAUAGAGGUAGUAACUGGCCUUUAUUUGACGGUAAUCAACCAGAAAGUCACGGCUAACUACGUGCCAGCAGCCGCGGUAAUACGUAGGUGGCAAGCGUUGUCCGGAUUUAUUGGGCGUAAAGCGAGCGCAGGCGAAAGAAUAAGUCUGAUGUGAAAGCCCUCGGCUUAACCGAGGAAUUGCAUCGGAAACUGUUUUCUUGAGUGCAGAAGAGGAGAGUAGAACUCCAUGUGUAGCGGUGGAAUGCGUAGAUAUAUGGAAGAAUACCAGUGGCAAAGGCGGCUCUCUGGUCUGCAACUGACGCUGAGGCUCGAAAGCAUGGGUAGCGAACAGGAUUAGAUACCCUGGUAGUCCAUGCCGUAAACGAUGAGUGCUAAGUGUUGGGAGGCUUCCGCCUCUCAGUGCUGCAGCUAACGCAUUAAGC
rnacentral:rRNA from 1 species